UGGUGACUAUAGCAAGGAGGUCACACCUGUUCCCAUGCCGAACACAGAAGUUAAGCUCCUUAGCGUCGAUGGUA
rnacentral:rRNA from 2 species